GGCCACAUCACAUUAAAACCCCAGUUUAUGUACGAUCACCAAAGUUAAGCCGUGUCAAUCCUGGUCAGUACCUAGGUGGGUGACCACCUGGGAAUGCCAGGUGCUAUA